rnacentral:lncRNA from 1 species
UAUGAGGAUAUAAAAAGCUUAUAAUUAAGGGAUAAUUGCCAAUAUACCCUUCAUGCGUUUGAAUAUAUCCGAUUUGUCCCUACUUUUUUUUUCUUUCUAAAAUACCCCUCAUAUGUUCCACCGUUAUUCCAAAAUACCCCCGCAGUUAUCCCCAAGUUAAAACCUAAUUAAAAUACCUAUUUUACCCCUAUCUUAUUAAACUAUUUUCUUAAAUUAU